rnacentral:misc_RNA from 1 species
GAGAGAGAGAGGCCUUCCCCGACCUAAAAACAGAGGGAGCAAACUUUGAAACGCUCAACUUUACUCGAGAGACUAAAAUCGGAGAAGAGUUCAAGAGAAUAAUAUUUCGUGCAGAGAAACUUAUGUAUGGAAUACAUAGCUCUCAUAUAUAAAAUUAAUAUUUAUAUAUGAUAUACUAAAUCCAACAAGUGUUUCCCAUAUAUAUUAAUAUCUUGCAUGGGUGCAUAAGCUUUCAUCAGCAAAGCAAAAAAAUCCAUUUUCAUUCUCCUUCGAUUCUAACUUCUCGGAACCUUCUCUAAUGCUGCAAGUGAUAUUCAUUUCUUUAAAUUAUGCUUUUCUUUGAAAUGCCAAGUUGCCAACCAAUUAGGUAACUUUUUGGCAAUAUAUGAAAACUUGGCCCAAAUUUUCCUAAGUUUCUGCCCUAAAAGUGAAGGGCUACCUCAAUGAUAUCCUAACUAACCUAUUUAUUUUCCUCCCAUUAAACACCAUAAAAGUUGGUUGAGAAAUAAGAAGAAAGUGGCAAUCGGUGAGCCAACUAUGUGCAAGGAUUUCACAUUAUACAUUUGACAAAUGAAUUAGAUAAGAAAGCAAAAGAAUAAAAAAAAGUCUCUUUCCCAUUGUCUAUUUUGAAAAGAAGUCUGAAAUGGGGUUCAGCCCUAGCAGAAGAUAACAAAUUGUCGUAAAGGCAAUGGGGUAUAAGAUAAUGACAUGGAC